rnacentral:rRNA from 1 species
UUGGUGCCUUCGGGAACUCAGACACAGGUGCUGCAUGGCUGUCGUCAGCUCGUGUCGAGAGAUGUUGGGUUAAGUCCCGUAACGAGCGCAACCCUUAUCCUUAGUUACCAGCACGUAAUGGUGGGCACUCUAAGGAGACUGCCGGUGACAAACCGGAGGAAGGUGGGGAUGACGUCAAGUCAUCAUGGCCCUUACGGCCAGGGCUACACACGUGCUACAAUGGUCGGCACAAAGGGUUGCCAAGCCGCGAGGUGGAGCUAAUCCCAUAAAACCGAUCGUAGUCCGGAUCGCAGUCUGCAACUCGACUGCGUGAAGUCGGAAUCGCUAGUAAUCGUGAAUCAGAAUGUCACGGUGAAUACGUUCCCGGGCCUUGUACACACCGCCCGUCACACCAUGGGAGUGGGUUGCUCCAGAAGUAGCUAGUCUAACCUUCGGGGGGACGGUUACCACGGAGUGAUUCAUGACUGGGGUGAAGUCGUAACAAGGUAAGCGUAGAUGA